ensembl:lncRNA
AUAUUUCGGGCAGAUCCAGCCCACAUGGAUUCUACUAAGUUAGGUGUUGUGUGUAUACCCCUAAGUGUUACCUGAUGAUCAUAUCUUCUUCCUAUAUGCCAAUAUUCAAUUUAAUACAAUUAAAUUAAAAUUAUUUUGUAUAGCUCAUCAGAGGGCUUUAAAGUCUGUAUGGCAUGCGACAUCCUCUGUCCGAAAUCCUCACAUCGGCAGAGGAAAAACUCCCUAAAAAAAUUUCAGUUCACUUGAAACAACUGUUGUUUAUUUCCCAUCAAGUUCCUGCUGCCAGAAAUUCUCCCUAGCGCACCGAAUGCACUAUAUCAUUUGCUAAUGACAGACUUAGCAAACAAAGAACUUUUGACCAACUACUUUCAACAUUCUUUUCAAUAUGAGCUUAAUAUUUUUGGACAGUGUAUUGAGAUUUGCAUCAUGAUUAAAUAUACUGUAUGACUAUUAGUUGGGACUUUAUUGAAAUAAGCAAACAUUACAUUACAAGUCAUUUAGCUGACGCUUUUAUUCAAAGUGACUUACAUUACAUUUUUAACCCAUGGCUCUUACAUUUUGCCCGGGGACACUUCGACAUGGGACAUGGGGCAGCCGGGACUCGAAUCACCAACCUUGUGGUUCACAGCACACCCUCUCUACCCCCUGCGCCACGACGACCCAAACAUUAGAAUAUUGUAAGGGAUCAGGACUGAGACUCAGGCACAAAGGAAUGAAACAACCAAAUACUACAGGUUUCGGAUCUUGGCAAAACAAACCAAAAAGUAGCACAGGCGCAAGCAGACUUAACACGCUGGAGAGGGAGAAAGAAGAAGGCCUGGCAAUGAAAAACAGAAAGACCAAAAAAAAACCACUAGGAAUACUGGUGGCUUGAAACAUACAAUCUCUGGGUAGGACGAUGGAUAACCUGAGAUGGGUGAGUGGGUGAUUGGGGCUUAAAUGCAGGUGGGGUGAUGGUAAACUGAACUCCCUAAGUGCUUGAAAUCCCGCUUGACUGCCUCUGGGCUUUGAGCUCAGAGCUGCACUGUAAGUCAAUGACUUCCAUUUGUAGGACUUUUUGCAAAUUUAACUUUAUGCAAAAUUCUGAGGAGCCCGCGGAGGAAAUUGCUUGGAGGACCGGAUUUGGCCCGCGGGCCUGAAUCUGAGAGCCCUGCUUUAAAGGUCACCAAGCCGGGCGCCCUAUCUACCUACUUGGUCCUACUGCCAAGAAACCUGAAACAAUCCUACAACUGCACUGUGUGGUAGGAGCGGCUACAUGGCCGAUAGAAUCAGAGGUGAAGCAAGCUAAUGGUGAGAACCCUAAACGUAGUUGUUAUACGGUAUCACCUGUUUGUUCCGUUUGCAAUGGGCCACCGGGUGAUUCAUUGAGCUCACACCUCAAAGCUCACUUGCCGUGCAGGAAUCAAGAGAACCAUGUAUACCAUCAGACAAAGGUUCUGGUGGUCCGCUAUGAAAUGUAAGGUCCGGGACUAUGUGGAGGCGUGCCCCGUCUGUGCUACGAACAAAACCUCGUCCUAAGCACGGACGGGUCUGCUGCAACCACUCCCGGUGCUCUGCCGACCCUAGGCAGAGAUCUCGCUGGACUUUGUCACGGGGCUGCCGGUCUCCCAAAGUAACACCACUGUUCUCACAGAGGUUGACAGAUUCUCUAAGAUGACUAAUUGCAUUGCCUUGCCUAAACUGCCGUCGGCCAAAGAGACACCCGAAACCAUGUUAAAUGUUUUUCGUAUCCAUUGGUUUCCAAAAUACAUUGUGUGGCCCCAAUUCAUCUCUAGAUUUUGGAAGGAAUCCGGAUGGCCUCUGGAUGGUAUCAGUCCAGAUACCAGCCAGACUACUUCUGGUCAAUUUUCAGAUUUUAUUUAAAAGGAAACUAUCAAUAGUUACAUGACAAUUUCCCUUAAGGUUGAUUCCCAUUCCCAAGGUGUCACUCAUACAUACAGUAUAUUUCUGUAAUAAUUGUUUCCUGAUUCCUGCUUCCAAAAUUAAAGCCUCGCAAAAUACCAUACAUGAGCCAAUUUCCUAAAAAAUCUUUCACAAGACUACCUCCGGUCAUUUUCAGAUUAGAUUUAAAAGGAAACUAUCACUAGUUAGACAGUAAUUCCACUUCAAGCAGAUAGUACACAUCCCCAGAUAGUGUAAAUUAUAUCAUAACUACAGCUUUGACUCUAAAUGUGUGUGGCACGUUUAGCACCGUUGUUUUUUACUGGAUACUCAAAAUCUUUCCUGGUACCAGUAGGUGGCGCUAUGACUUUGAUUCCACUGUACAUCUCUUCAGACCUGGAGUCUCAUCAAACGUGAAAAUUGGAAAGGAUCCAACUAUGUGGAGUAGAGUUAGAACGGUCUAUUUGUUCUUGGUGAAGGAUCAACUUUGCCAGUGCUCUCUCUCGCCGCUGUUUAUCGGAUUCUUAUAAUAUUCACAGUAAAGCAUUAUCAAGGUCUUAAGUCUCGGCUAACACCUUUUGAGAGGGAUCAGAUUAACCUGUGAGGAGCAGGGUGUAAAGUAAAAAACAUUCAACUUCAACUUGUUUCCAUCAGGAGUUCCUAUGACUAAGGUUUAAAAUGAUCUACAGGGCAAGAAGGUCAUGCUAUAUGAGAAAAAUGGAGCAGAUUAGAUAAAGUAUGGUCGAGUUAAAACAACAAUUUUCAUGACGAAUGGUGUUUUUUUUAAAUGCUGUGUGCGCACAUAGUUUAAUAUUUCCUCCGGUAAAAUGCAAUUAGAGCCCAAGGUCUCAACAUCACACUGGCUAAAUUUGAAAAGAAUUGGGUUUAAUCCCGAUCUCGGUCUUUUACUCUAAGAAAUGAGGGAAGAUUUUCAACAAUUAACUGCAGUGCCUCCUAUUCUUAAAAUAUUCUCAAAAUGUUAUUGUUAGAGAUCUCUGGUGGCCAGGGGUUCAACGUUUGAUCUCUGGUGGCCAGGGGUUCAACGUUUGAACCCCUGAACAGCGUCCUCGUAGCAAAGGACCCUUAUAAUAAUUCCUUGAAAUGCAAUAGGUUCCUCUACCACUAGUCGUAGCGAGGACCCUAAUAGUAAUUCCUUGAAAUAUACAAUGACUACAACCUAAUAAUAACUACAACCUCACAUUUCUGAGUUAAAUCAAAGGCAGUCUUCAUGUUGAGUUCAGUUACAUUUCCAAGGCAGCAGGUAAACUUUCAUUUGCAAGUUUAACUGACUUGUUUUACAGUGUGGAGCACCAGCAUCCUGACAGUGGACAGAAAAAGACUUUCAACAAUUUCAGCAGUGUGUCUUGGAGAGUCCUUUGGAUACAGUGGGGGCAAUGAGAGACAGGAGGAUUAUGGCUAAACUAUCAUCCUUGAUGGACAACGCUUCCCACCACAUGCAUGAUGCCCUGGCUGCUCUUUACAGCUCCUUCAGCCACCGGCUGCUUCCCCCUCCCAGUGAGCACAAGACGUAAUUUUAACGUUGAAAUCAGGUUGAAAUGAGGUCUGAACCUCUAAGACCUCAUUUCAACGUCUUUUCAACCAGCUAAAAAGUGGAUGAAACAUCAUGUGACUUUAAUGUAUUUAAUAUUUCACUUAAAACGUCAUAAAUAUGAAACAACGGAGUGUGUGCUGUUAAUAAGCCUUUAAGACAGGGGUCUCAAACUCGAUCAAUAGGAAAUGAGUACUCGCUCGCUUGCUAGACCUUCAUUCGGCGCCAAAAUACGGCGAAAAAAUUUAUGUUUUGUCGUAAUUAUAGUCAAACGUUUUUUGCAGUGGUUGUGGCCAGAGACUUGGAGAAAGUCUGGAACCUUUAGAGUACCAACUUCAGGUAAGUUAUAACGUAACCUUAUUUGAAGGUAAUGGUGGGUUUCCCCUGCCAUGUCUGUAUUGUAGUCAAUUCACUCAAAAAACAACAUAGAAUUCCCUGAGUUUAUCUAUUGGACAUAUUUGACUUUUCAACUGAUUUCUGAUCAUGAACAUUAAUUUGUGUGUUCUUUGGAAAUGCAUUAAAAUAAAAUAGUACCCGUUAGCUGACCUGAUUUAUUUCAUUACAAAAGUGCCUUCCAAACCUGCUGUUUACUAUAAAUUGAAGGAAGGAUUAGAGUGACUUUGGGGUCUAUGUGUAACAUUGGCCAACAGAGAAACAACCACUUUUAAAUUUAGCACUGUUUUUUAACCCAGAUGAAGACCCUCCUUACCAGUUUGUGUUUUUUCUAUUGCAGAUUAAUCUUAAUGAUGACAGAAGGGUGUUUUAAAGCCAGUACGUGGGAAAACCAUUCGCUUAUCAACUGACUGACGUCACCGCUCAAAGUCUUCCAAGAAAAUGAGGGACUUUAACCAAGACCUGGAUGAAGGACCCUCCAUCAUUCUGUAUCCAGAUGAAUCUGAAGUCAUCAAUAUCCCUGGGACACAAAGACCUUUUAUUCUAGAAGAAUAUAAAGCAGAAUUAGGCAAACCAUAUUCAAGGAUCACAAUUUUUAUCUGCCCAAAGAAGGACUUUGAAGAAGAUAAGUUGUCAUGUUUUGCCAUAGCCAUUUAUUUAUGUGGCUAAAUGUUUCACUUUUGUCUCAAUGCUGAGAGAUAAAUACAUAAAUAAGUUUAAAAAUAGUUCCCCAUGGUGUUUUCUGCAUUCAUCUUAAAAUUACUGCAAGGAGUUGCAAGUUGGAGUUGAACGUUUUCCCCUCAUAGUCAGACCAUGUGCCAAAACCAACUGUUUCUGGUGCAGUGUCUCAAACCAGCUUCCCAUUCAUCACCAUCUUCUGGAGUUAACUUCUUUUUAAAUGUUUGUCUUUGAAUGACACCAAUCAAGCGACCUUUAAUUGUUUCUUUUUUGCAGUUUUUGCAGUUGGAGAAGUGUCAUUUCUGACUCUGACACAGAGAUUGUCAUAAAAAGACCCCUCACAACGUAGGACCUAGCUAACACGCUACCAUGUGAACCUGCCCAAUACAGACGAAUACAGAGGAUAUUCGUCCAAGUACCUCCAGAUGUCCUGGAAUGCAACUACACAGACCGGUAUGCACCUAUUGUCAUUGAUAACGACUACGAUGAUGACGAAGAUGAAGUUCUAACUGUCAAAGAAAAUAAUGAGGCAUCUUCUAAAGAACCAAUGUGAGUCAUGAGUGCUAUAUUAUUAUCCAUCAUUCUGUCUUACGCGUAGAGUACGAGUAGUCAUUAAACAAAUAAACAUCACUGUAUUAAGAAGGGUCAAAUGACCAUUUCAAAAACUAGGUCCAGAGAGAUCCAAAGAGUUGUCUUUUUGUAAGGAACUGGAUGUAUUAAAUGUAGCCUAUUGUUUUAUUAACUGCCUACUGUCCUAAGGAGUCAAAAGUGUUAUGGGUACAAUUCAUGAAUAUUGAAUGAAAGGAAGGCUUGAUCCCAUUUGUGUUCAUCUAAUAGGCUAUACAAUUCUGCUUAGAGCAUGUUUUUUUACACACAAUGUAACUUUUUGUUCUAGGCAUACAAGUGCCAAGUCAUUUUG